rnacentral:pre_miRNA from 3 species
AGUGGAAUGGCUAGAUGGUAUGGUAGGUGUAUAUUUAACUUUUUAAGCAACUGGCAAACUGUUUUCCAAAGUGGUUAUACUAUUUUACAUUUCUACAAGCAGU